rnacentral:rRNA from 1 species
AUUGAACGCUGGCGGCAGGCUUAACACAUGCAAGUCGAACGAGCGGCGGACGGGUGAGUAAUGUAUGGGGCUCUGCCCGAUAGAGGGGGAUAACUAAUGGAAACGGUGGCUAAUACCGCAUACUAUCGGCUGAACCCAUAUGGGAUUAGCUAGUGGGUGGGGUAAAGGAUCACCUAGGCGACGAUCUCUAGCUGGUCUGAGCGGAUGAUCAGCCACACUGGGACUGAGACACGGCCCAGACUCCUACGGGAGGCAGCAGUGGGGAAUAUUGGACAAUGGGCGCAAGCCUGAUGCAGCCAUGCCGCGUGUAUGAAGAAGGCCUUAGGGUUGUAAAGUACUUUCAGCGGGGAGGCGUUACCCGCAGAAGAAGCACCGGCUAACUCCGUGCCAGCAGCCGCGGUAAUAC